rnacentral:rRNA from 1 species
UGCAAGUCGAGCGAAUCGAUGGGGAGCUUGCUCCCUGAGAUUAGCGGCGGACGGGUGAGUAACACGUGGGCAACCUGCCUAUAAGACUGGGAUAACUUCGGGAAACCGGAGCUAAUACCGGAUACGUUCUUUUCUCGCAUGAGAGAAGAUGGAAAGACGGUUUUGGCUGUCACUUAUAGAUGGGCCCGCGGCGCAUUAGCUAGUUGGUGAGGUAAUGGCUCACCAAGGCGACGAUGCGUAGCCGACCUGAGAGGGUGAUCGGCCACACUGGGACUGAGACACGGCCCAGACUCCUACGGGAGGCAGCAGUAGGGAAUCUUCCGCAAUGGACGAAAGUCUGACGGAACAACGCCGCGUGAACGAAGAAGGCCUUCGGGUCGUAAAGUUCUGUUGUUAGGGAAGAACAAGUACCAGAGUAACUGCUGGUACCUUGACGGUACCUAACCAGAAAGCCACGGCUAACUACGUGCCAGCAGCCGCCGUAAUACGUAGGUGGCAAGCGUUGUCCGGAAUUAUUGGGCGUAAAGCGCGCGCAGGUGGUUCUUUAAGUCUGAUGUGAAAGCCCACGGCUCAACCGUGGAGGGUCAUUGGAAACUGGGGAACUUGAGUGCAGAAGAAGAAAGUGGAAUUCCAAGUGUAGCGGUGAAAUGCGUAGAGAUUUGGAGGAACACCAGUGGCGAAGGCGACUUUCUGGUCUGUUAACUGACACUGAGG